CUUGUUUUGAAAUUCUUUACCUUGAGUUAGGAUGAGCUUAAUUGUAUGUGAUGAAAAGGUUCAAGUUUGGGGUUGUACGGGGGAAAAUUGAAAAAGAAAGUGAAAAGCAUUGAGCUCAAAUGUUGUGAAAAGAAAAUUUCAUGAGAAAAAGAAAAGAAAAGAAGAAAAGCAUGAAGAAGAGCUCAAUGAAAAAGAAAAGGGAAAAAUUGGGAAUGAGAGAGAUUGGUGAGGAAGAGAGUUGUGCUUAAAUGUUGAAUAUGUUGAUAGCUCUCUUGACUUAAGGAUUUUGCAUUCCGGAAAAACCAAUUCUUCUUGUUAGCCCAACCUCAUUACAAGCCUUGAAAAAGUCCUUUUGAUGACAUUUGCAUGUAAAGAUAUUGAUUUUUUGAGAUGAAUG
rnacentral:lncRNA from 1 species